AGUGAACGCUGGCGGUAGGCCUAACACAUGCAAGUCGAACGGCAGCACAGUAAGAGCUUGCUCUUACGGGUGUCGAGUGGCGGACGGGUGAGGAAUACAUCGGAAUCUACUUUUUCGUGGGGGAUAACGUAGGGAAACUUACGCUAAUACCGCAUACGACCUACGGGUGAAAGCAGGGGAUCUUCGGACCUUGCGCGAAUGAAUGAGCCGAUGUCGGAUUAGCUAGUUGGCGGGGUAAAGGCCCACCAAGGCGACGAUCCGUAGCUGGUCUGAGAGGAUGAUCAGCCACACUGGAACUGAGACACGGUCCAGACUCCUACGGGAGGCAGCAGUGGGGAAUAUUGGACAAUGGGCGCAAGCCUGAUCCAGCCAUACCGCGUGGGUGAAGAAGGCCUUCGGGUUGUAAAGCCCUUUUGUUGGGAAAGAAAAGCAGCAGGUUAAUACCCCGCUGUUCUGACGGUACCCAAAGAAUAAGCACCGGCUAACUUCGUG
rnacentral:rRNA from 1 species